CCCUUAGAUGUUCUGGGCUGCACGCGCGCUACACUGACACACUCAGCGAGUCACCUGAUCUGAGAAGACCGGGCAAUCAUGUGAGCGUGUGUCGUGAUGGGGAUAGAAUAUUGUAAUUAUUACUCUUCAACGAGGAAUUCCUAGUAAGCGCGAGUCAGCAGCUCGCGCUGAUUACGUCCCUGCCCUUUGUACACACCGCCUGUCGCUCCUGCCGAGGGGGUGAUCCGGUGAAUGAUUCGGACUUUGGCAUUGCUAUGUUUCAUAGCAUUGCUGGGGGAAGUCUUGUGAACCUUAUCACUUGGAGGAAGGAGAAGUCGUAACA
rnacentral:rRNA from 1 species